GGGCUGCUUCCUGUGAAGCUGUGCUGCAUAACCAGAGAUUCUCUUCAGCAGUUUGGGGUUUUUACAUGAAGAGGAUGGCGUUUGCAGAUAGUUCUUCUCCAAAGCUGUAGCUAAUUUAGCUUCUAUCAUGAAGUAGUGUGGGGAGUGGUUUGUAUGGCCAGAACUCAUACUGCAGUUACUUCGCAGCAGAGCUGGCAUUGAACUGAGUGAGGAAUAAGUCACAUCAACCAGAACCGUGACAAAUGUUGGCAUAAUCCAGCGUGAAUUGGAAAUAUGACAUCAAAUGGCAUUUCCUGGCAUGUUUGAAAUAUGCUGUGUUUUUCUUCAGUGCAACUACUUUCAGCUAGCAGGUUAACACUGAAGAACUGUGAAGCUGCUCUUAAGCCAAAGAAUUUUCUUUCUUGAGAAUGGAUUAGGGAGAUAGAUAUUUUGUUUGCAGUUUUCCCCAAUGAUUUUAGCAAUGUUUCCAUCCUAUAAUUACUGGAUUUAGCCACAGGAUAUUUGAAAAUAAAUAAAUAAAAAUACA